rnacentral:rRNA from 1 species
AUGUGGGCCCCGGCGGCCUCGCCGGCGGGCAGGGCGCCCCGACCGCCGCCGCGGUUGCCGGCGGUGGUACGGGUCGUCGUCCCGCUGCCUGUCGCGGCGAGGGUGCGGGGGCUGCCGAUGCCGCCCAGUCGGCUCUGCCUAGCCGCGCCGCGUGCAUCGGAAAUGGCGGCCGCGGCCGAGGACGGGGAGGGGGAGGGGGAGAGGAGGUGGUGGAGGGGCGCGGAGGAGAUGGACGCGGCUGUGAGGCGCGAGCUGGCGAUCCGGAGGCUGCAGCAGGAAGCGGAGGAGGCGGGGACGGGGAGGAGCAGGCGGGAGUUCGCCGUGUUCGAGACGGCCAGGGGAGACACGCUCUUCACGCAGUCGUGGACUCCCGCCUCCGCCGACCCCGUCAGGGGUAUUGUUGUUCUGCUACAUGGUCUAAAUGAGCAUAGUGGAAGAUACGACCAUUUUGCAAAGUUGUUGAAUGAUCAAGGUCUUAAAGUUUAUGCGAUGGAUUGGAUAGGACAUGGCGGAAGUGAUGGCGCGCAUGGUUAUGUUUCAUCGCUUGAUCAUGCUGUUGGUGACUUGAAAGAAUUUUUAGAGGAUGUUGUGUUAGAAGAAAACUAUGGUUUGCCAUGCUUCUUAUUUGGCCACUCCACAGGUGGAGCUAUUGUUUUGAAGGCAGCACUAGAUCCUUGUGUGGAAGUUCAUAUAGAAGGUUUGAUCUUGACCUCGCCAGCUAUUCACGUUCAGCCAUCUCAUCCGAUUAUCAAAGUUGUUGCACCAAUCUUCUCGGUGUUGGCUCCGAAAUACCGGGUUAGUGCUUUGCAUAAGAGAGGGCCUCCUGUUUCCCGUGAUCCAGAGGCUCUGAAGAUCAAGUAUGCAGAUCCACUUGUGUAUACUGGACCGAUUAGAGUUAGAACAGGCAACGAAAUCCUCCGGAUAUCAUCAUACUUGCAGAGAAACUUAAGUAGAGUUACAGUCCCUUUUCUAGUUCUUCAUGGGACAGCUGACACGAUAACUGACCCAAGAGCAUCCCAACGACUUUACCAAGCAUCAAUGUCGACUCAUAAAUCAAUCAAGCUAUAUGACGGAUAUUUACACGACCUUCUCUUCGAGCCUGAAAGGGAUGAUAUAGCCAAUGACAUCAUCACUUGGUUGAGCUCAAGACUUAAUGCUCUCCACAGAUGGUAG